UGGGGAAUAUUGCACGAAUGGGGGAAACCCUGAUGCGAGCAACGCCGCGUGAGUGAAGAAGUAUUUCGGUAUGUAAAGCUCUAUCAGCAGGGAAGAAGAUGCGGUACCUGACCAAGAAGCCCCGGCUAACUACGUGCC
rnacentral:rRNA from 1 species